UGAACUUUUCCCCCAAUGGUUUUUAAUGAUGUGAAAAUGCCGAGUGUGUAAAAAGGAACAAACUACUAUCUAAACAGUGGACAACUUUGUGAGGGACUGCAUGAAUUAGGGAUCACAAUAAGAUGCAUUUAAACAAAAUGUAAAGAAAUAUAUAUCAAUGUUAAUAUAAAAGCACAGAAUGUAAUUAUUCUGUUGUAUUUGUCCAAUAUGUACGUAUGUAUAUACAUAUUUGUAUACAUAACUACUUGUGCAUUUCUCCGGCAUAAUCAGUCUUUGUUGCCUUUUUCUAGACAUUUACUAUAAAAAUAAGUCACACGUUAAUGAGGUUAAACCCUGAGCCUUGCCACUGAUGCCAGAGAUUACUAAAAAAAAAUUGAGUGACCAAUUUUAGUGGACCUCAGCAGCAACAAAUCUUUAAGCAUUUUGAAAAAAGUCAUUUUUAGGUUCAAUUUUUAAGUCAAACAAACCGUUUUCCCAGUUUCUCUCUGUUUCUCUCACCAGAAACCAUUUGUUGAUGUUACUUCACCAUAAUGGUAAUUUACACUGAAACAUAAGAGUACAGAUCUUGCUGCUCAUUAUAUAAACCGAGCCAUUGAGGUAAUCCUAACCAUUUUUAUUGGCCUAACUUUGGAGUCCCAUUUCAGUUUCUACAUUUUGCCAUUACACUCCUUUGCAUAAUAAAAAAUCUGGUUUUGUUU